ACGGAAGGCAGCAGUGGGGAAUAUUGCACAAUGGGCGAAAGCCUGAUGCAGCGACGCCGCGUGAGCGAAGAAGUUAUUCGUAUGUAAAGCUCUAUCAGCAGGGAAGAAAAUGACGGUACCUGACUAAGAAGCUCCGGCUAAAUACGUGCCAGCAGCCGCGGUAAUACGUAUGGAGCAAGCGUUAUCCGGAUCUACUGGGUGUAAAGGGAGCGUAGACGGAUGUGCAAGUCUGAUGUGAAAGGCUGCGGCUUAACUGCAGGACUGCAUUGGAAACUGUACAUCUGGAGUGCCGGAGAGGUAAGCGGAAUUCCUAGUGUAGCGGUGAAAUGCGUAGAUAUUAGGAGGAACACCAGUGGCGAAGGCGGCUUACUGGACGGUAACUGACGUUGAGGCUCGAAAGCGUGGGGAGCAAACAGGAUUAGAUACCAUGGUA
rnacentral:rRNA from 1 species